CAUGUCCAUUUCCCCUAUUUGCCUGGGGAAAGCUGUCUUCUUCCCUAUGAACUGGGUUGAGGCCCCUUUACACUGCAUUCUCCUUGGGGAAGGUCACAGAGCAGGAUGAGAAUGGAACCGGGAGACAGGAACAAAGCAGAGACCCUGAAGCCUGGUCUGUGGGCAGAAAAGCCUCUAGAGGCCCGACUAUCAAAGGGACAUGAUGCCUUUAAGGAGGAUGAAGUCAUCGGGGGAUGAGGCCACCUGGCUCUGCAGCCAGGGCUGCUGCCGAAAAGGAGGAGCAGAAGGUGGAAGGUGCUUUGGGCACCAUACUUGCCCCACCAUAGUGCUGGUCCUGAUCCAACUUAGAAGGUACCUGAAGUGACAGCCCACUGAGACUGCAUCAGGUGGCAGCUGGUGCCUCCCCAAAGGAUGACUGGCGACUGUUAGCAGAAGGAGCAGAAUGGAUGCCAGACAGGUGAAAUACAGGUGCCCACACCCUGAGGCUUUAGUGUAGAGUAGCUAAUAACAUGACUCUGGAGUUGGAUGAAUCUGGAUUAAAUCCAGGGUCUCUUCUCAAUAGUUACUUGAUUUGGACAAAUCAGCUUCCUUCUCUGAACCUCAGUGUGUUUAUCUACAAAACAGUACUAACAACAGUAGCAUAUGUUGAUCUCUGUCUUCUGGAUCUUCAUUCCUUACCCUUGUCCUUACAUCAGUGUGCCCCAAACUUCCCACUAAGGGCACUUAAUUGCAAAAGAGAGUGGGCUUGGUUUUCUGGGGGCUGGGAAUGGAGCCUAAAACCACAGACAGCAGUCACAGCAUUUCCUUUGACAUGCACAUAAGCCAUACAGCCAGCAAGUCCACUCUUGAGGAGAUAGCCAAGGGAAAAGUGCCUAUGUCCACAAAAAGACAUGCAUAGGAAUGUUCAUAGCAUUGCUAUUCAUAAAAUCCAACAACUGGACACAACCCAAAUGUCCUUUAACAGUAGAGUAGGUAAAUUGAGCAAUACUACAGAACCAUGGAAAACAGCAAGCUACUGCUAUACAUGAUGAUAUGGAGGAAUCUCAGAUAAAAUCUUGAGAAAAGGAUGCCAGACUCAAAAUAGCAUAUGCUGUAUAAUUCCAUGAAUGUGAAGUUCAAGAACAGAUAAAACUGAUUCAGGUGACAGCAGAAAGAAUAGUGGUUACCUUGAAAGGUAGAGAUGUAUAUCAAUUGGAAGGGGACAUGAAUGGAAAUGUAUGUCAAAAUUCAUUCAACUGUGCUAUUAAGAUUAGGGAGCUUGGCCGGGUGCAGUGUCACGCCUGUAAUCCCAGCAAUUUGGGAGGUCGAGGUGGGCAGAUCACUUGAGCUCAGGAGUUUGAGAUGAGCCUGGGCAACAUAGUGAGACCCUGCCUCUACUAAAAAUAC
rnacentral:lncRNA from 1 species